GAAACAUUCAUCGGUAGGCAUCCUUCACUCCAUUGAUCGUGAUGGAAGCGUAGCUGUUGCAUUCUUAGGUUUGGAGACCUUUUGGAAGGGUAACUGCUCCGAGCUUCAGAUGGCAGAAGCUUACUGUGGUGGACAGUUUGUAAGACUGAAGCCUGAUAUCUUCAGCCUGCGCUUUGAAUGGCCCCGAAAGAGAGGUGGUGAUUGGGCAACAGGUAGAAUUUGUCAGGUGCUACCUAAUGGGUGUCUUGUUGUGAACUUUCCUGGUAUGCUGGUGUUUGGUGAUGAAAAUAGCAGCAUUUUGGCUGAUCCGGCGGAAGUUGAAAUCGUUUCUUUUAAUGCUUGCCCUGGUAUUGUAAAGAAGUAUCAACACCUUGCUGGACAGUUUGUAAGGCUGAAGCCUGGUAUUUUCAGUCCGCGCUUUGAUUGGCCCCGAAAGAGAGGUGGUGACUGGGCAACAGGUAGAAUUUGUCAGGUGCUACCUAAUGGGUGUCUUGUUGU
rnacentral:lncRNA from 1 species